CAUUAACUGUAGUAUCGAAACCAAAGGCUGAACUGAGACACAAUAACACAACUGUUCCAGUAGGGGGCAGUGUGACCCUGACCUGCUCUGUGAGCCCAUCAUCAUCAUCAUCAUCAUCAUCAUCAUCAUCAUCUGGAUGGAAAUACUACUGGUACAGAGAUGGGAAAUCUUAUGAAGCUUUGACAAAUGGACAAAUCAGUGUCUCAGAGGGAGGACUCUACAGCUGCAGAGGAGGAAGAGGAGAACCAGUUUACUACACAGAGGACAGUGAGUCAGUCAGGAUUGACACAACUGAUAAACCCCGUCCUGUCCUCACUGUGUCUCCAUCAUGGCUGAGUCCUGGAGCCUCAGUA